GUGUCAGCAGCCGCGGUAAUACGAGUGCCUCGAGCGUUAUCCGGAAUCAUUGGGCGUAAAGGGUGCGUAGGCGGCGAUGUUAGUCUCCCGUAAAAUCUUUCGGCUCAACCGAGAGUCCGCGGGGGAAACGGCAUUGCUUGAGGACGGGAGAGGUUUCUGGAACUCAUGGUGUAGCGGUGAAAUGCGUUGAUAUCAUGGGGAACACCAAAAGCGAAGGCAAGAAACUGGCCCGCUCCUGACGCUGAAGCACGAAAGCGUGGGUCGCGAAUGGGAUUAGAUACCCCAGUAGUCC
rnacentral:rRNA from 1 species